GCCCUGAUGGCUCAGUUGGUUAGAGCGCAGGUCUCAUAUCUUGAAUAUGACCGAAUUGUAUUCGGGCAAUCCUGAGGUCGCAAGUUCGAACCUUGCUCAGGGCA